GAUGAACGCUAGCGGCAGGCCUAAUACAUGCAAGUCGAGGGGUAUGGGUUGCUUGCAACCCAGAGACCGGCGCACGGGUGCGUAACGCGUAUGCAAUCUACCUUAAUCAGGGGGAUAGCCCGGAGAAAUCCGGAUUAACACCGCAUAACAUUGAGUUGUGGCAUCACAGUUCAAUCAAAUAUUUAUAGGAUUAAGAUGAGCAUGUGUGACAUUAGUUAGUUGGUGAGGUAACGGCUCACCAAGACCACGAUGUCUAGGGGAUCUGAGAGGAUGACCCCCCACACUGGGACUGAGACACGGACCAGACUCCUACGGGAGGCAGCAGUAAGGAAUAUUGGUCAAUGGGCGAAAGCCUGAACCAGCCAUGCCGCGUGCAGGAAGACGGCCCUAUGGGUUGUAAACUGCUUUUGUACCGGAAUAAACCUUCUCUUGCGAGAGAAGCUGAACGUACGGUAAGAAUAAGGAUCGGCUAACUCCGUG
rnacentral:rRNA from 1 species